GGAAUAUUUAGGGGCUGCCUCCCUCUCCUCUCCUCCGUCCUCCUCACUUCCUUUUCUGUGCCUGUUCCCCCAGGACUGCGCGAGUUUGUUUUGACAGUAGCAUGCUUGUCGCUGAAUCGUGCAGCCAGGGAGCCAUAGGGUUGGACUAGGACUCCCCAGGAGGGCAGAGAGGCCCUUGGUUUGUCACAGUGCCAGCUGCCAGGACAGUGGAAUGAGCUCAGUGAUGAGUCGUCUGAACAUUGCACAGAGAUACAGGGGUGCGCAAUUGAGUGGCCUCCUUUUGCUGAGCCCUGGCAAGCUGAAAUGUUUUGCUAAUAGAUACUAAACUGGUUAAUGUCCUAUCGGGUCACAGAACUGUAACCUUGAUGCUAUCUUUUUUGCCAGUCAGAAAUCCACAAGUCAACAUAACUUCGUUGUGUCUGAGCUCGAAUCAAACAGUAGUAAAUGGCAAAGUCAAACACAGGUGCAGCCUAGAUUACUCAGUGUACUCAGAUGAACUUACUAGACAACAACACUGACAGGAUGAGCGGUCAUUUAUUUCCAAGUUUGGGAUGUUUUCUUCUUAACAAUACAGUAGUCCCCCCUUAUCCAUGGUUUCAGUUACUCAGGGUUAGAAGGUCAGUGGUAGCUUAACGCUAUGUCACAAUGUCUGUGUCAUUCACCUUCGGCUCAUCAUGUAGGCAUUGUGUCACCUCGUAUCUUCACAGGAGGAAGAAAGGUGAGUACGCCCACCAGGCCCUCAGUCGCUCACCAUGUUGUUCCAGAGUGCGAUGGCCAUCUCCGCAUGGGCCCGCUCUGAGAAGUGGAAACAGUCCUCGGAGAAGAAGUAUGUCUAAGGUCCAAUCGUACAAAAAAAAAAGUUAAAG